UCUCUAACCCUCUCUCUCGAUAUCUUCUUCACAGAAAACAAAUGGAGAAAACCUUAUGCCCUUUCAACACCAUCUUCCUCAAACACCUACACCACAGCCAACACCCUCUCUUAUCCUCUCAUUUUCAAGUCUGGCGGACCCAAGGGAGGAGCCGGCAAGCCGACGAUGGCCGGCGAGCUUACCCGACGACCUCUCCGGUCGACGUGCUCCGACAACCACCCCUCCCCCCUCUCGUUCUCUCUCACUCGAUGUCCAGGUCGGACCGGCUCCGGCCGUAUUCCUUCAAUGACGACGAUGAUGUUGAAGAUGGCGACGAGAUGUAGCUGAUGAUGAUGAUGAUUUGCCACUGCUAUUCGAUGACAACGACGUUGUUGUGUCCGACAAGCUCCGUUUGUGAUGCGGGUGAUACCGGCUGAUGUGUGGGUUCCGGAGCUCCGACUCAGGCGGGUACGAUUCAGCUCUUGAAGUCUCGUACCAAGUUCGGGUUCACACAGUUCAGAAUUCCGGUUUGGUUUUGGUCUCGGUUUAGGCUUCGGGUUGGACUCGGAUGGAAUUCGGGUGUUACGGUUCACUCGGUUGAGACUCGGUUCGGUCAAAGACAGUCACAGCAGGUCAACAAGCAGGUUCGGGUCUCGGCUCGUAUCUCGGUUAAGUUUCGAGCUUUGGUCAAACAGUCAAGGCAGGUCAACCGUGGUCAAAGCUCGGUCAAACUGAGUCAGCAACAGUAAACCGUAGUCAACGGCAGUUAACUCGGGUCAACAGGCUGUCAACGCUCAACUGUCGGGUCAACAAACAGUUAACACGAGACCCGGUAAAGUUUACCGACGCGAAAUUAGUAUAGAUCGUUAUAGUUUCUAGAUCUUUUUUUUUACUACGCGAAUCGAGCUCGACCGGUCAAAAGUUUAUACAUUAGAGAUUUAUUUACGAUUCUUGCAAAAUUUGCGAAAAGUUAUAUAUAUA